rnacentral:rRNA from 1 species
UUUUCGCCUAAGGAUAGGUCUGCGGCUGAUUAGGUCGUUGGUGGGGUAAUGGCCCACCAAGCCGAUGAUCGGUACGGGUUGUGAGAGCAAGGGCCCGGAGAUGGAACCUGAGACAAGGUUCCAGACCCUACGGGGUGCAGCAGGCGCGAAACCUCCGCAAUGUACGAAAGUGCGACGGGGGGAUCCCAAGUGUUAUGCUUUUUUGUAUGACUUUUCAUUAGUGUAAAAAGCUUUUAGAAUAAGAGCUGGGCAAGACCGGUGCCAGCCGCCGCGGUAACACCGGCAGCUCGAGUGGUAGCUGUUUUUAUUGGGCCUAAAGCGUUCGUAGCCGGUUUGAUAAGUCUUUGGUGAAAGCUUGUAGCUUAACUAUAAGAAUUGCUGGAGAUACUAUUAGACUUGAAGUCGGGAGAGGUUAGAGGUACUACCGGGGUAGGGGUGAAAUCCUAUAAUCCUGGGAGGACCACCUGUGGCGAAGGCGUCUAGCUGGAACGAUCUUGACGGUGAGUAACGAAAGCCAGGGGCGCGAACCGGAUUAGAUACCCGGGUAGUCCUGGCCGUAAACGAUGUGGACUUGGUGUUGGAAUGGCUUUGAGUUGUUCCGGUGCCGAAGGGAAGCUGUUAAGUCCACCGCCUGGGAAGUACGGUCGCAAGACUGAAACUUAA